AUCAUGGCUCAGAUUGAACGCUGGCGGCAUGCUUUACACAUGCAAGUCGAACGGGGGUGGGGCAACCCACUCUAGUGGCGAACGGGUGAGUAAUACAUCGGAACGUACCCCGUAGUGGGGGAUAACCCGGCGAAAGCCGGACUAAUACCGCAUAUGCUCUACGGAGGAAGGCAGGGGACCGCAAGGCCUUGUGCUAUGGGAGCGGCCGAUGUCCGAUUAGCUAGUUGGUGGGGUAAUGGCCUACCAAGGCGACGAUCGGUAGCUGGUCUGAGAGGAUGAUCAGCCACACUGGGACUGAGACACGGCCCAGACUCCUACGGGAGGCAGCAGUGGGGAAUUUUGGACAAUGGGGGCAACCCUGAUCCAGCCAUGCCGCGUGCGGGAAGAAGGCCUUCGGGUUGUAAACCGCUUUUGGUCGGGAAGAAAAGGCCACUCUUAAUACGGGUGGUUUUGACGGUACCGGCAGAAAUAAGCACGGCUAAAAAAAUCC
rnacentral:rRNA from 1 species